rnacentral:pre_miRNA from 1 species
GAGACACCCUUCUGGGCAAGGACUUGCUUCAGUGGGGCUUUGGUGCUCACUGAGUCUGCCCCCUGAGUGUGUCCCU